rnacentral:rRNA from 1 species
GAUGAACGCUAGCGGCAGGCUUAAUACAUGCAAGUCGAGGGGCAGCAUGAAAGUAGCAAUACAUUUGAUGGCGACUGGCAAACGGGUGCGGAACACGUACACAACCUUCCUAUAAGUGGGGAAUAGCCCAGAGAAAUUUGGAUUAAUACCCCGUAACAUAACGAUGUGGCAUCACAUUAUUAUUAUAGCUACGGCGCUUGAUGAUGGGUGUGCGGCUGAUUAGAUAGUUGGCGGGGUAACGGCCCACCAAGUCUACGAUAAGUAGCUGAUGUGAGAGCAUGAUAAGCCACACGGGCACUGAGACAGGGGCCCGAGUCCUAAUGGAGGCAGCAGUAAGGAAAAUUGGUCAAUGGGCGCAAGCAUGAACCAGCCAAGCAGCGUGAAGGAUGACAGCCCUAUGGGUCGUAAACUUCUUUUGUAUGGGAAGAACCCUCCUACGUGUAGGAGACUGACUGUACUAUACGAAUAAGCAUCGGCUAACUCCGUGCCAGCCGCCGCGGUAAUAC